ACUAUCGUUAUCAGAUGGUCUCAAUGGU
rnacentral:piRNA from 1 species